AUGAACGUUGGCGGCGUGUUUAAGGCAUGCAAGUCGAGCGACGUGCUCUCGCAAGAGAGUUACGAGCGGCAGACGGGUGAGUAACACAUUAGUAACCUACCUUCGAGACGGGGAUAGCUCGCCGAAAGGCGAAUUAAUACCCGAUGGUCUCCGGUCGCGUGAGCGAUCUGAGUAAAUCCUUUCGGGCUCGAAGAGGGGCUUAUGUCCUAUCAGCUAGUUGGUGAGGUAAAAGCUCACCAAGGCUUUGACGGGUAGCAGGCGUGAGAGCGUGACCUGCCUCACUGGGACUGAGACACUGCCCAGACUCCUACGGGAGGCUGCAGUCGAGAAUAUUCCUCAAUGGACGAAAGUCUGAAGGAGCGACGCCGCGUGCAGGAAGAAGCCCCUCGGGGUGUAAACUGCUUUUAUGUGGGACGAAUUAUUGACGGUACCACAUGAAUAAGAGGUUGCUAACUCUGU
rnacentral:rRNA from 1 species